rnacentral:rRNA from 1 species
UACGAGAGGCCCAAACGUUAUUCGGAAUUACUGGGCUUAAAGGAGUUCGUAGGCGGCGCGGUAAAGUGGGGUGUGAAAGCCCUCGGCUCAACCGGAGGAAUUGCGCUCCAAACUACCGUGCUUGAGGAAGCUAGAGGUGAGCGGAACUGGAUGGUGAGCGGUGAAAUGCGUUGAUAUCAUCAGGAACACCGGAGGCGAAGGCGGCUCACUGGGGCUUUUCUGACGCUGAGGAACGAAAGCCAGGGU